AUUGAACGCUGGCGGCAUGCCUUACACAUGCAAGUCGAACGGUAACAGGUCUUCGGAUGCUGACGAGUGGCGAACGGGUGAGUAAUACAUCGGAACGUGCCUAGUAGUGGGGGAUAACUACUCGAAAGAGUGGCUAAUACCGCAUGAGAUCUACGGAUGAAAGCAGGGGAUCGCAAGACCUUGUGCUACUAGAGCGGCCGAUGGCAGAUUAGGUAGUUGGUGGGAUAAAAGCUUACCAAGCCGACGAUCUGUAGCUGGUCUGAGAGGACGAUCAGCCGAACUGGGACUGAGAAACGGCCCAGACUCCUACGGGGGGCGGCAGUGGGGAAUUUUGGACAAUGGGCGCAAGCCUGAUUCAGCAAUGCCGCGAGCAGGAUGAAGGCUUGCGGGUUGUAAACUGCUUUUGUACGGAACGAAAAGCCCUGGGUUAAUACCCUGGGGUCAUGACGGUACCGUAAGAAUAAGCACCGGCUAACUACGUGCCAGCAGCCGCCGUAA
rnacentral:rRNA from 1 species